CUAGCGUUGCUCGGAAUCACUGGGCGUAAAGCGCACGUAGGCGGAUCUUUAAGUCAGGGGUGAAAUCCUGGAGCUCAACUCCAGAACUGCCUUUGAUACUGGGGAUCUCGAGUCCGGAAGAGGUGAGUGGAACUCCGAGUGUAGAGGUGAAAUUCGUAGAUAUUCGGAAGAACACCAGUGGCGAAGGCGGCUCACUGGUCCGGUACUGACGCUGAGGUGCGAAAGCGUGGGGAGCAAACAGG
rnacentral:rRNA from 1 species